CAUGAUUAAUCCUAACUAUAAAAUAAUAUGAACACGUCUCAUAAAUCUGUCUUACCGUGAGACGUUGUCAAAUUCAUACAUCCACUUCAUCUUAGAGGUGUUUAAAACAAACUUGAUAAUCCGAUAUGUACCCAAUUUAGAAAUCAAACACGACUUAAACCAACUUCAAAACGAAUUUAAAAUUUAACAUAGACACAAUACUCAAUUUCACCUGACUGGAAAUAAAAAAAAUAACUCGUGGUCUUGCUGUUUCCGAAUCCUGACAGGAUUCUCGAUUCUCAUUCUCAUCUCCUGUCCCCGUUGAUCGCUACCUAUUCCCGCCUUCAUCGCCGCCGCCGCCGCCUCCUCCUUUUACCGUCCUUCAUCUUUUGGUUCUUUUCUCUGUUGAUCAACUUAAGGGGGAGUGGUAGGGUGUUUUCAUCAUCAUCAUCCUACUCUACUCGGUGUAUCCCGCUAAUAGAAAACUAUGAACAGAAUGUGAGGAGAAAAGGACGGCGAUAAUUCAUACCCAUAAAAAAAAGCGCUGCUAAAGAAAUCCCUAUGAUACGGUGUUUUAUAGUUAUCAAUCCUAACAAUACAACUGUGCUACUUACAAAUUCAUCAAUACAAGUAUUUUUGUUACAAAUACUAAUAGAAGGUUGUAGAAAUAAAUAGAGAGAAUCUUUUCUGUUUUGUAAUUUGUUAGAUGGUUGUACACGUCAUUAGAGUUUGUUAUUCUUUUCUUUCCAUUUUGUGCUCUCUUGUCCUUUUCUAUAUAUAAAGGACCCCUUGUACUUGCAUUUGUAUUCAUUCACUGAUAAUAAAAUUCUUCCUCUUUCUUAAUAUCAAGUUCUUUACUCAAGCCAUCUUCUAUAGCUGAAUACCUAAAUAGUCUACACCAAGUUUAACAUGGUAUCAGAGCCAAACAAUGCUGAUAUUUUUUUUGUGAUUUCAUCCUAACUUCUUUUCUGUGUUCUUAUUCUUUCUUCUUUCUUCUCACAAAAUUCGAAGUGCCUGUUAAUGAUAUUGAUCCAACUCAAGAUCCAGCAAGUGUGUAUUAUCUUCAUCCUUCAGAUCAUGUUGGUAUAAAGCUCAUUUCAACACCCUUUGAUGGUACCGGAUACGCAGAUUGAAAGAGCUCGAUGAUUAUUGGUCUCACUGCAAAGAACAAACUUAGUUUUGUUGAUGACACAACAUCUAAACCUCCUCCAAACUCAUCUGACUCCAAGUGCUGGAAGAGAUGUAAUAACAUGGUGAUAGGCUGGAUAAUUGCUUCUCUUGAUAGAGUUGUGGCCAAGAGCAUUAUGUACUACAAUAAUGCUCAAGAAAUAUGAUAUGAUUUAGAAGAGAGAUUUGGAAAAUCAUCUUCUGCGCAAUUGCAUAGUUUACAAGAAGAGCUUACAAAACUCACUGAAGGUGCCUCUAUGAGUAUAGCUGAUUAUUUCACUAGAGUCAAGUCUAUUUGGGAUGAGAUUGAUCAUCUCGAUCCUAUUCCUAUACGUUCUUGUAAUGGAUGUUCUUGUGGUUUGAUCAAACAUUUCUUAAAGAGCCAACAAGAUCAGAGGUUAAUUCACUAACUGAUGCGCCUCGAUGAGCAGUAUAAUCAAGCUCGUACAAAUAUACUGAUGAUGAGUGAACUUCCUACAAUCCAAGCUGCAUAUCGUUUGCUGGUUCAAGAGGAGAGACACCGAAAAAUUUGUAAGAUAACAGCUCCUAUCGAAUCUUUGGCUUUCUUUAGUGACAAAAGGAAGAAUUAUGACCAAGGAAGAAACAAUGAGCAUCACAGUAACUAUAAAAGACCUUAUACACAAAAUAAUGGAGGAGGCAAGAGGACCAACAAUUAUUUUUGUGAUCACUGCAAAAUCAUAGGCCACACUAUAUAACGUUGCUUCAAAAUUCAUGGUUAUCCGGAGUCAAAGGGAAGGAAAAUAGCUGCUAAUAUGAUAGGUGACAAUGCCAAAAAUGCCACAAAUGUAGGAGGUACCGGUCUUACUUUUACACAGCUGAACAAUUUACUUUCUCUGUUCAAUAAAAAUGAUGGACCUACUGAUGUCAAAGAGAAUGCACAUGAGGAUGAUACUAAUCUUGUUAGUUUUGGCAAUCUAGCAGGUACAUUUUGUUUUCUUUCACAAAGCCUCUUUAAUAAUUGGAUAAUUGAUAGUGGAGCAAUAGACCAUAUGUGCAACACUAUCA